CUAAAAUAUAAAGAUUCACUACAAGUAUCAAAUUAACUUAACAUUAACCAAGAAAACGAGGCCAAGGUCAGAUAUAAACAAACAACUUACAAUUAUACAAGAAAUAGAUCAAGCCCUGAAAAAUUUAUAUUGACCCAAUGAACAUUGAAAUUAGGUCAAUGUCAGAUUAACUAUGCCAGCCAUACAUGUACACCUUACAAUCAUUCCAUGCAGC
rnacentral:lncRNA from 1 species